UACAUAUGUAAACAGAAAAUGGUGAAAACAUGCCCGUGGGGAACUGGCAACAGUAACGGCCGAUACCCUGAUAGAUUGGAGGGCGGUGUUGUAUAUUCUACAAUUCAUGGAACCUAAAACAUACAGCUUUGGAAGUUUUGUGAGCAGCAGCUUAAAUAAAGAGGCUAGAACAACAACUACAUAGAUAUGAGCUGCUGAAUUUGCACCAUGAACAACAAAAUACUACAUCUUUCUCAAGUGUUAUAUUGAUAGUGAAAUUAAGCAGAAAUAAAAUCGAUUGACAUCCUGAA